UGGGGAAUUUUGGACAAUGGGCGAAAGCCUGAUCCAGCAAUGCCGCGUGUGUGAAGAAGGCCUUCGGGUUGUAAAGCACUUUUGUCCGGAAAGAAAUCCUUGGCUCUAAUACAGUCGGGGGAUGACGGUACCGGAAGAAUAAGCACCGGCUAACUACGUGCCAGCAGCCGCGGUAAUACGUAGGGUGCAAGCGUUAAUCGGAAUUACUGGGCGUAAAGCGUGCGCAGGCGGUUUGCUAAGACCGAUGUGAAAUCCCCGGGCUCAACCUGGGAACUGCAUUGGUGACUGGCAGGCUAGAGUAUGGCAGAGGGGGGUAGAAUUCCACGUGUAGCAGUGAAAUGCGUAGAGAUGUGGAGGAAUACCGAUGGCGAAGGCAGCCCCCUGGGCCAAUACUGACGCUCAUGCACGAAAGCGUGGGGAGCAAACAGGAUUAGAUACCCUGGUAGUCCACGCCCUAAACGAUGUCAACUAGUUNUUGGGGAUUCAUUUCCUUAGUAACGUAGCUAACGCGUGAAGUUGACCGCCUGGGGAGUACGGUCGCAAGAUUAAAACUUAAAUGAAUUGACGGGGU
rnacentral:rRNA from 1 species